GAUGAACGCUGGCGGCGUGCCUAAUACAUGCAAGUCGAGCGAACGGACGAGAAGCUUGCUUCUCUGAUGUUAGCGGCGGACGGGUGAGUAACACGUGGAUAACCUACCUAUAAGACUGGGAUAACUUCGGGAAACCGGAGCUAAUACCGGAUAAUAUUUUGAACCGCAUGGUUCAAAAGUGAAAGACGGUCUUGCUGUCACUUAUAGAUGGAUCCGCGCUGCAUUAGCUAGUUGGUAAGGUAACGGCUUACCAAGGCAACGAUGCAUAGCCGACCUGAGAGGGUGAUCGGCCACACUGGAACUGAGACACGGUCCAGACUCCUACGGGAGGCAGCAGUAGGGAAUCUUCCGCAAUGGGCGAAAGCCUGACGGAGCAACGCCGCGUGAGUGAUGAAGGUCUUCGGAUCGUAAAACUCUGUUAUUAGGGAAGAACAUAUGUGUAAGUAACUGUGCACAUCUUGACGGUACCUAAUCAGAAAGCCACGGCUAACUACGUGCCAGCAGCCGCGGUAAUACGUAGGUGGCAAGCGUUAUCCGGAAUUAUUGGGCGUAAAGCGCGCGUAGGCGGUUUUUUAAGUCUGAUGUGAAAGCCCACGGCUCAACCGUGGAGGGUCAUUGGAAACUGGAAAACUUGAGUGCAGAAGAGGAAAGUGGAAUUCCAUGUGUAGCGGUGAAAUGCGCAGAGAUAUGGAGGAACACCAGUGGCGAAGGCGACUUUCUGGUCUGUAACUGACGCUGAUGUGCGAAAGCGUGGGGAUCAAACAGGAUUAGAUACCCUGGUAGUCCACGCCGUAAACGAUGAGUGCUAAGUGUUAGGGGGUUUCCGCCCCUUAGUGCUGCAGCUAACGCAUUAAGCACUCCGCCUGGGGAGUACGACCGCAAGGUUGAAACUCAAAGGAAUUGACGGGGACCCGCACAAGCGGUGGAGCAUGUGGUUUAAUUCGAAGCAACGCGAAGAACCUUACCAAAUCUUGACAUCCUUUGACAACUCUAGAGAUAGAGCCUUCCCCUUCGGGGGACAAAGUGACAGGUGGUGCAUGGUUGUCGUCAGCUCGUGUCGUGAGAUGUUGGGUUAAGUCCCGCAACGAGCGCAACCCUUAAGCUUAGUUGCCAUCAUUAAGUUGGGCACUCUAAGUUGACUGCCGGUGUCAAACCGGAGGAAGGUGGGGAUGACGUCAAAUCAUCAUGCCCCUUAUGAUUUGGGCUACACACGUGCUACAAUGGACAAUACAAAGGGCAGCGAAACCGCGAGGUCAAGCAAAUCCCAUAAAGUUGUUCUCAGUUCGGAUUGUAGUCUGCAACUCGACUACAUGAAGCUGGAAUCGCUAGUAAUCGUAGAUCAGCAUGCUACGGUGAAUACGUUCCCGGGUCU
rnacentral:rRNA from 1 species